ensembl:lncRNA
AAUCUCUGGUUGGAAAUUCCUUCUUUGUGGGUUCUUUCUUGCGAACCUAGAAUUUCAGAGACAGCAAUUAUGUUUCUUGACUGUCCUGGGGAGCUCUAGAGCCUUCAGUGAGGAACAGGGAACAGAAGCUGCCUGGGGAAUCCUUUGACUGGUGAAUAUCUGCUGCUGCAGAGAGGAUCUCAAAUGUACACCACUCAUAAAUCCCAGGAUAAAAUCAAACAGGACUCUGGAGAUGCCAUGUUCUGCUACACUACAGUGCUUCAUAAAACUAUCUGAGAUGUGUCCGUGCUGAUUCACAUGGUCUGCAAUUGGUGUCUUUCAACAAAACUGCUACCUACAACGUCAUCUGGAGGAAACCCAGAGCAAUCACAACGAAAUACUUCUUAGAGUUCAGACUGUCUUUGAAGUCUCUGACUCAAUUUGCUGAAGCUGGAAUCUCUGCUGAUCAACUCCUACUAAAUUUGGAUGCUGAUGAGUAACAUAUAAUUUCUCUACAGUUUAGUGGCACAGUGGGCACAGCACAAAAGGCGCUAUCUUUCAAUUUCUGUCUUAGGUCAGUAAUUGGUUUGAGGUGUUUUUUCCCCCUCUGUCUCAGCAGAGAUCAUCUUCCCAAAUAAAAGCAGCAAAAAUAGCAUACAGUUGACUCAGUGAUGGUGUAUUGGCCUUUAUGCCAUGAGCAACAUCCACACGUAACUGUGGUUGCUGUUAAAAAUGCUGAAAACUUUUUCCUUUCUUCAGUGAGCAAUAUGAAGUGUAGAAAAAUACAAGAUAAGAUAUGUAGCUUGCCUGCAGUUGUCAGAUGCCGAAGUCACUGGAUGCUGCUGUUUAGAUGUUCUGAAAGAUUUCCAGUGCAGGAAAGGUCUUCCUGGGUCUUUCUGUGAUCUCAGCUUCUUCCUAAGUGUCCAUAGUUGCACAAAUAACAAACUUCUCAGUUGAUUUUUUCAUUUCUGUAUGAGGAUGGGUAACCGCUUGCUUUAUGUGCUGGAUAAAUAUCUAUUAUUAGAUUCAGCUCAGUGUUGGUUGUCUGAACCUAAUUUAUUUUCUGCUUCUAGAUCAGGACAAUGAUUCCUUAAUACCUUAUUAAAAACAUUUGGUACCUUCAUGUGUCCUUUUUCUCUGCCUAUCCCUUUGUGUAUGAACUUGUAGACUGAUGUUGAGUUAAUAUAUUGUCUCUAUGGUACAAUCCAAAUCUGCCAAUUUUGGAUUAGUAUAGUGGAAGAAACUCACUCAUUCAUAGUAAGUACUAAAAGCUAUAUCAUAGGAAAAUAGAAAGUUCUUGCAAUGGAGAGAGCUGUGAAUUUUUCUUCUGUGCAAGUAGAAUAGAUGCAAUGUUGAUAGUGAUCACAAUGCUGAGGGGAAGGAUCAAUAAAAAGCCUCAGAAUAGAGAAAUCUUGUGAGCUCCAAGAAUUUCUGAAAAAGCAACAAGUUUUACUUUGUUUUUAGCUAGCUUCUCAUAUAGUCCUUAGCUUUUACAUAUAAACAAAAUAUACUAGCUGUUAUUAUUCAGGCAGUAAGAUGUAUUUUUUCCCUCUGCAGGAAUUUAGAAUGCUAAUGAAAGAUUAGGCUUCACUAACAAGCUGCCUAAUUCCACUUGCAGUGCUUUGCAUCCACAAAGCGCUUUGCAUCCACAAAGUGCUUUGCAUCUGCAAGACACUAGAAAUAAGCAGCUCUUAAUCUUUGGCAACAAAUUUGUUUAUUGUUCUUUCUGAGGUUACCUUAUGAUGGAGCUCUGUAAGGGAGCUGUAUUUUUUCUGGAGGGUCCAUUGUGACCCAGGUGGAUAAUACUGUUAGAAGAGUAAAAAUGUAUCCAGAAAACUAUCAAUACAUUCUCUACAGAUCUUGCUGUAGAGUCAUAGGUUACAUCUUAUGGCCUUCUUGGCAAUACCUUGAAGCACACUAUUAAAGUGUAACUGGGUUUCCAAAGGAGCUUGAUGAGUAAUGAGGGAGUAUGAGAGACACUGAGAUAAUGGGUCUCUGCAUCCACUUGGAACAUCUGAAACUGAAUUUGCCUUUGAAAGAAAACACACUGUCCUAAAAUGUGUUACAGUAGACUCUGGGAGUGACUUGCAUUGAAGAGCUUUAGAUUUUAGAAUAAACAUCAACACAGGGGAUUUGAAUAUAGACAGGACUUACUCCAGUGGGACUGAUAGAUCAAAAAGAAUAGCUUGGUUUGCAUAGUGGGAGGAGAAAUGGCCACAGAGUGGGGAUGUGCAUUUGGAUAUUUCAAGAUGAAUUUUGCAAGACAAGAAAUACAUGGUAGAAAAGAUCUUGCAUGUUGGGGAAAUACUGCUUUUUGGGGGUUUGGAGAAGAUUUCUAUUCCAUCUUCUCCCACCCUCUCAUCCCCAUGCAUUUCCCAAGAAAGAACAAUUAAAACUUAAAGAUGUGAUAUUCAGAACUUUGAGACUUAUUUGUGGAGAAAUUAGGAAGUUCUGAGAGCAUUUUGCAAAACUUCUAUAAUAUAUACAGAAAAAUCUGAAAGGAAGUAGGUUAAGGAUUUUAUACCAAAAUACAUUGGAACUAAAAACAUUUAAAUAUUUUCUUGGUUUCUUGGUGCACAUAAGUCUCAUAAUUCAGCAUAAAAAUACCCCUUGAUUUGUAUUAUACAUCAAGAACUACACAAAAGAUAGAUACCUGUUUGCAUUCAAUUCUGACAUUUUUUUCUCUUCUAAUAAAUUUUUCACUUAAUUUCCAUUAGAGUUCUAAAUUUUGUCCUUUCCUAAGUUAGCUGCUGUGAAAAUGGGAACAAACAGGCUGCUGUUUAGUCUGGUGCAUAUGUAAAUUGAUUUUGUUAAUUAUUAUUAUUAUUUUUUUGUCACAUUAUAUGAACUGGAGGAAGAAUGGAAUUAUACAGCAUAAGCAUACUAAAUAACGGAGGAAAUGUUCCUAUUUUCUCCACUGGUGUCUCUGUUCUCUGCUCAGAGAGGAAAGUAUACUUCUUGUAAUAGUUUUUCUCCUUUUUGUAUAAACAAAAUUUCUUGCUUCAUGAACUUGCUCUUAUGUUCUUGAUGUGUUUUCUAGCCAGCAAGUCAUCAAAACAUGGAUGUAACUGUGCACAAAAAUUUCCAUUAACUUUGGCUAUGGUUAUGCAUGUAUAUAGAGCAAUACAGGUCCUUGUAUUGCAG